rnacentral:rRNA from 1 species
UGACCUCAAAUCAAAUCAGGAUACCCCGCUUAACU